UGCAGGGACUGCCACCACACCUCCAUUGGCUGCAGGGACCGCUGCCUUCAUCAUCGCAGGGACCUGCCACCUUCCAGCUCCAGAAGCAAGGGACCACCUCACAGUGCAGCAAACUCCAGUUGCAAGGCAUCCACGGAGACUGGCUAUGCUGCCCCAUACACCUGCAGAAGCAAGAAGCUGCUGGCAGUGACAAUACCAUCCCACAGAGGAGAAUCGGGACCGCCAAUAGGUGGGGAGAGCAGAGGGGACCACAUUCCACUUCUGUACGGCUUACGAACACUCAGUGAUCCUAAAUCAUCCAUUUGAUUGGAACAACAACACCUUUUCAGACAAAUCUCGGAAAAAUUAAUGUCGAUCCAAGAAGAGCAAGAGCAGCAAUUGCUAUAGCUGCUGUAAACCUAUUUCUACAUACUAGGAGAAAGACCAGAAAGAAUCGCAAAAGAAGCUGCUGGACCAAAGCAUGGUUGAAAAGAAGAGACACUCUAUGGAGCUGUUAAAAGAAAUAAGAGAAAAUAACCCGGAUGACUACUAUUUAAGAAUGCCCGACAACACCUUUCAAGAGUUACUUAAACUCGUAGCUUCUCAACAUUGACCCACAGCAGUGUUAAUUAACAUGGGUGUUGCAUUGAAAAUAGGAUUGCAGUUGUGUAUGUAUAUGCAAACUGAAACUUGCAGAACCACAACUGGCAGCUUGCCGUGACACCAGGUCAUGCUAUGACAAUUGUAGUUCAACAAAAAAAAAUUGUAACAAAAUUUACAGAUAGCAAAUGAUUACUUCAAUUCUUGUACUGCUGCCCAGGAGUAGUUCAAAAGGUAUGUUUUUACAAAUUAAAAUGAUCAAAAAUAAAAAGAUACUGAAGUACAUGUACCAGGGAAAGCUUGUACUUGUGCUUCUCCAAGUUCCAAUUUGCCUUAGCAGCCCAACCAUGCUGGUAUCCAUAGUUCAGUAUAAAAAUAAGUAAAUCUAAUAAAUGUAUGGUGGUGAAAGAAAAGCCCAGUUUCACUAAAAAAAAAGACACUUCUGCAUGUUUUGAAAUGAAAAAACAAAACAA